rnacentral:misc_RNA from 1 species
AGUGCCAAUUAUUGGCAUGGAGACAAUAUUUAAAUUGCCUGAUGAUUCAGGAGGACUUGGUGAUUUGUGUGGUACAUGGCUAGGUUUGGAAGUACUUCCAGAAGAAGAAGACACAUCCAAAGGGGGACCAGAAACAAGAACAUAAUCUUGAUCUAUCAACUCCAAUGAAUCCACAGCUCUUGAUUGUAAAUUCAUAGACAUUUGGUUCAUGGAUUUUGGAGCUUCAUGUAGAUAUUCAUUGGAAAAUUUAUUAAUGUCAGGCUUAAAACUAGUAAAUUCCAAGUUAUGACUAGAAUGUCUGGGAGUAAAAUCCUUGUUAUUCAAAGCAUUAGAUUUUGCUUCCUUUCCAUCAACUUGUGUAUCAAGAGAAAAUCCAUAGGUGGACUUCAUUGAAGGCUUCCUCUUAGAAAAGGAAGGGCUACCCUCAGGACCGCUCGAAUCAUCAUCCAGGAAGAA